CCCCUCAGGUACCCCUCACCUGGGCAGGUGAGCGCAGGUACCCCUCAGGUACCCCUCAGGUACCCCUCAGGUACUCCUCAGGUACCCCCUGGCCCCCCUCACCUGCGGGCACAGGUGUGCACGGGGCAGGGCACAGGGCCCACUGGGCCAGGAGCACCUGGGGGGCUCCAGGUGGGCACUGGGCACCUCCAGGUGGGCACUGGGCACCUCCCAGGU